AUUGAACGCUGGCGGCAGGCCUAACACAUGCAAGUCGAACGAGCGGCGGAAGGGUGAGUAAUGUCUGGGACACUGCCUGAUGGAGGGGGAUAACUACUGGCAACGGUGGCUCAUACCGCAUACCAUCGGAUGUGCGCCGAUGGGGUUAGCUAGUAGGUGGGGUAACGGCUCACCUCGGCGACGAUCCCUAGCUGGUCUGAGAGGAUGACCAGCCACACUGGAACGGAGACACGGUCCAGACUCCUACGGGAGGCAGCAGUGGGGAAUAUUGCACAAUGGGCGCAAGCCUGAUGCAGCCAUGCCGCGUGUAUGAAGAAGGCCGUCGGGUUGUAAAGUACUUUCAGCGGGGAGGCGUUACCCGAAGAAGAAGCACCGGCUAACUCCGUGCCAGCAGCCGCGGUAAUAC
rnacentral:rRNA from 1 species